rnacentral:rRNA from 1 species
GUGCAGCAGGCGAGAAACCUCCACAAUACACGAAAGUGUGACGGGGCCAUCCCGAGUGCCGUCCGCUGAGGACGACUUUUCCCCAGUGUACACAGCUGGGGGAAUAAGGAGAGGGCAAGCCUGGUGUCAGCCGCCGCGGUAAUACCAGCUCUCCGAGUGGUGGGGACGCUUAUCGGGCCUAAAGCAUCCGUAGCCGGCUGGGCAAGUCCUCCGUUAAAUCCAACGAUUCAAUCGUUGGGCUGCGGGGGAUACUGUCCAGCUUGGGGGCGGGAGAGGCCGACGGUAUUCCCGGGGUAGGGGUGAAAUCCUAUAAUCCCGGGAGGACCACCAGUGGCGAAGGCUGUCGGCUAGAACGCGCCCGACGGUGAGGGAUGAAAGCUGGGGGAGCGAACCGGAUUAGAUACCCCCGUAGUCC